ensembl:lncRNA
CCCCAUCCCAGGGCUCUGGGGAUGACUCGGCCCUGAAGAGGAGGGGCCGAGGCUGCUGGUCCCCACGUGUCAUGGUCACAGCUGGGGAGCUUCGGCUUGAGGACUCCCGUCCAACCCCUUCUUGACUAUGGGGCCCUAGGGCUUUUGGGAAGCUCUAGGUGGCCUGGAAGGGUGGCCCAGACUCUGGGGCCCCCAGAACCCCCAUGCGCUUCCUGGGUCUGUGGACACACGGAAGCCACUCUGCCCCUCAGUGCUGGCAAAGGAUCCCCUGCUCCAUUCAACUCUCAGGUGCUGGCCCUGGGCCAGUCCCUGGGGCUCGUGCUCCAGGAGGAAUCAGAGCUGGAGAAGGAGGGGCUAGGCCAGCCUCCAGCCCCGGGGCCAGGGAGCUUCUGCCCCCCACGCAGCCCCAAGUCCUUUGAGCUCUCAGCUUUAGCUGUGGGUCUGGGGUGGGGGGCCGCCUCGUCACUCGCCAAGGUUCAGAAUAGCAGAGCUCCCCAGUGACCACUCCCUUCUUACCCUGCCAGCUUGUCCACCAUUGAUGACACCAACCAGCAUUUGGCCAAGCGGGAGCAUCCCCUCCAGAAAUCCCCUCUGGGCCAGGACAGAAGUUCCUGGAAGGCCCUUUCCAUUAGCACAGACAUGCCGGGCAUCGUUCCAGGAGGCUCUGAGACCUGAGCUUUGCAAAGGGGAUGAGCAAUAAAAAUGACACCAGCGCCCUUCACAGAGGGCUCGCCCUGUGGGGCCUGUAGCCAGGUGCUCGCUGUCCAUCCCCACGUCCACUUCUCCCAGCUUCCCUGUGAGGGAGGUGCAGCAGGAGGAAAUGAGGGCGACGUGGCCUGCGUGUGGUCACACGGCUCGGGAGCUGCAGAGCUGGAAUGCAAGGCUGGGCUGUCACCAGAGUUCCUGUUAGUGGUGUGUCUGGGAAAGGAAGGGCUGGUAGGGAUAAGGGUCAGUGGCUGUGGGUCCACAGGGAGGACGAGGCAGGGGGUGUUGGGGCCCCUGCAAGCUGGCAUGGCCAGUCUCUCCUGUGGCCCCUGUGAGAAGCCAAGGGAACGCAGCUGCUCAGCCUGGCACCUCCCCACCCCACGUCACUCUUCCGGGCAGAGCCGGGCCAGAGCAGGAGGUAAACAUGGAUGCCACCCAAGGGAGGACUUUCUAACUGUCCGACUCUGCAGGAAAUGAGCCCCCUGUCCCAGGAGGGGUGCAAGCCCGGGUGGAGUGGGGUUACUCAGGAGCUCAGGAUUCUGUGGAUUCUCUAACCUGGUUUUAGAGGUGGCUCCUUCCUCCUCCGCCCUGAGGGGUCCUCAGCCUGGACUGUCUCGUGAGUGCCACCCAUUGGGAUGUUGCUAUUUUCAUUUGAAUCACCAGGAGGGGCUGCCUUGCUUUCCAGAUGAGGUUUGAAGGGAUUUAGCCACUGGCCCAUGGUCACCCAGGCAGCGUGGAACAGAACCCAGAGGGUACCCAGGAGAGCCAGGGGAGGGAGGAGCCAGGUGCAGGGGUCGGCCUGGCCUGGGUGCAAAUCCAGCACUAGCUUCUCUGUUGGGUGACCUUGGGCAAGUCAAUUCCCCUCUCUGAGCCUCUACUCUCUUCUGCAAAACAGGGGGGAAGUCCGCUCACCUCUCUGGGAAUUCAGUGGGACUUGCAGUGCACAGGACCUCAGACAGAAACCAGGGAGCUGAACACGACACCUCCCUUCCCCACACUUCCGCUCCUGCACAGCAGCACAGCCCACCGCCUCCACCUCCUGAGCCCCCCAUGCCCUCCACCCCCACGCUCAGAUGAGCCUCCCCACUGGGGCCCCGCUCCAAUCUGACCAUGUCGCUUCCCGGCUCCAAACCCUGCGAUGGCCCCAUCUCACGCGAGUAACCUCCAGACCCUUGUCACGAUCUGCAGGCCCCACCUGCCUGGCUGACCUCCUCUCCUCCGUGGUUCCCCCAGCCCUGCUGCUCCUUGGACGCUGGUCCCACUCCCACGGCAAGGCCUUCACCUCGGCUGUGCCCCUGCCUGGAACUCCCGUCCCCCAAACAUUCACCCACUGGCUCCUCUAUCCUGCAGGUCUCAGCUCAGAUGUCACCUCCUCAGGGAGGCCUUCCCUGAUCACGUGUCCUAAGUAACUCCCUGUCACCUCCUGCCCCAUCGAUUGUCUUCCCCAGCUCCUGCCUGACCUGCUCUUAGCACUUAGUGCUCUAUCAGACACUGUUUGCUUAUUCUUGCUAUUCUCCCUUGUUUGCAUGUGUGAGGUCCCCGAGGGCAGGCACCGUGUUGGUUUUAUCCACUGCUGUGUCCCCAGAGCCUGGCACCGAGUCUGGCACACAGUAGGUGCUCCACCGACACAAGCCAGAUGAGCGAACAGCACACAGGAGGGGUGCCAAUGCCCUAAGUUGCCCGGUCAGGCACAGCCCAGGCUCGGACUCUCGGCAUCAGGGAAAAACAAAGGUGUUUAUUUGCAACAGACGCUGAUAUAGCACAAGGCCCGGUAAGGAUGGGCAUGGGUGGAGCCGCCUGGCCGCCCCCAAGUCCCUGAGUCUGGAGUCGGGGUCCCACCAGCGGCCUUCCCUGGAGAGCACGGUGCUCACCCACAAGUGGGCAAGAGGGAGACAAGUGUUGGAAAGCGGGAGGCCCGGGUCCAGCCAAGUCCAUCUCUGGGCCUCAGUUUCCCCAUCUGCACAAUGGAUGCCCACCUCCUGCCCUUCAGCCUCCUCUGACUGGAAGGGCAGGAAAGGCCUUUGGAGAGCGGAGCACCAUCGUUUCUCCUCCAGGAGGACCGAGGCCCUGCAGCAGGGCGCUGGGAGAAGAGCCCCGAGCUCCCAGGGGGGCAGGCCAGGGGUCAGAGAGCGCCCAGGCCAUGGGACGACUCAGACAAUCUUCAUGGUGACGCCAGCAGCUCCAUACUCAGGACAUUGGGCAGAGGGAUCCCCAGCAGCAGGCACUGGGGGCCCAGCCACCGCGCCUGGCUCCUGACGGCUUGUCCCCACAAGGGCCCGUUCCCUUAACCAUCUCUCCCACUGCAUCUCUUCCUGGGACCACCGCCCCCGUGCCCGUUUGAUCUCACCUGCCUUGUCAACACCCUCUGUCCCUGAGCCAGUGGAGAAAGGUGGGGUGCUACCCAGGCCUGUGUCUUCUCUAGCUGGGGGAUGGGGAGCUUAACGGGGAGGGGCCACAAGGACCCCCAGGCUCCAGAGUAAAACCAGCUCUGCUGGUUGAGAAAGAAACACCAAGCCCAUUAGUCCUGCCAGAAGGUAGAAAGAGCACAGUGACGGAGACAGAAACUGAGACGCCGCCCCACCGCUGCGUCCGAGGGAGCCGCGACACCCCACCGACCCCCAGACUUUCCAGGCACACGGCCACGCCCAUGAGAGGGACAGGUGACAAUCUCUGCAGAGACCUGGGGGCAGGAGAAGGGAUAUUCGAGAACUGACUUCAGGGUGGAGUCGGCCUCUCAAAGUCUGGGCAGCAUGGAUGGCUGAGUCUAACCUCAAGUGUCCACUGGGAUCGACUGGAGGUGGCUGCCUGGGAUAGGAUUCUGGAGCCGCGUCCAGGCUCAGGAAGACAGCGCGUGAUCCAUUAGCGAUGUGUGCCCAGAGCAAGAGGUGGGAGGGGGGUGGUACACAGGCAUCUAUUUGCCCUCCUUUCACCCGGGAACAAAUAAAAUUUAAAGGGCCCUGUCGAUUUUAAUAUUCCUCAGUUCUGUGUGUUAAGAAGUAGUGACUAG